UUUAUAGCAAUUCACUAAAAAGUAAGUUAAACGGCGAUUGUUCAGCGAGUGCGCGGGUGAUGAGAAGUGCAUCAAUCAGUUUAAGUGAAAGUAGUUAGUGGGCCGCACCGGUGAACGUGAGUAGUCGAUGCCGUGAGAAACGCGUUAAGUUCUAACGAGAUAGCGGGAGAAGUCCCGUUAAAUCAGGUGGUACCGCGAUUAAGUCGCCCUGAUC
rnacentral:ncRNA from 1 species